AUGCAGUCGAACGGCAGCACAGGAGAGCUUGCUCUCUGGGUGGCGAGUGGCGGACGGGUGAGGAAUACAUCGGAAUCUACUUUUUCGUGGGGGAUAACGUAGGGAAACUUACGCUAAUACCGCAUACGACCUACGGGUGAAAGCAGGGGAUCUUCGGACCUUGCGCGAUUGAAUGAGCCGAUGUCGGAUUAGCUAGUUGGCGGGGUAAAGGCCCACCAAGGCGACGAUCCGUAGCUGGUCUGAGAGGAUGAUCAGCCACACUGGAACUGAGACACGGUCCAGACUCCUACGGGAGGCAGCAGUGGGGAAUAUUGGACAAUGGGCGCAAGCCUGAUCCAGCCAUACCGCGUGGGUGAAGAAGGCCUUCGGGUUGUAAAGCCCUUUUGUUGGGAAAGAAAUCCAGCCGGCUAAUACCUGGUUGGGAUGACGGUACCCAAAGAAUAAGCACCGGCUAACUUCGUGCCAGCAGCCGCGGUAAUACGAAGGGUGCAAGCGUUACUCGGAAUUACUGGGCGUAAAGCGUGCGUAGUGGGUGUUUAAGUCUGUUGUGAAAACUCUGGGCUCACCUGGGAAC
rnacentral:rRNA from 1 species